rnacentral:rRNA from 1 species
UACGUAGGGUGCGAGCGUUGUCCGGAAUUAUUGGGCGUAAAGGGCUCGUAGGCGGUCCGUUGCGUCAGGAGUGAAAACUCGGGGCUUAACCCCGAGCCUGCUUCUGAUACGGGCAGACUAGAGGUAUGCAGGGGAGAACGGAAUUCCUGGUGUAGCGGUGAAAUGCGCAGAUAUCGGGAGGAACACCGGUGGCGAAGGCGGUUCUCUGGGCCUUACCUGACGCUGAGGAGCGAAAGCGUGGGGAGCGAACAGG